rnacentral:rRNA from 1 species
AUUGAACGCUGGCGGCAGGCCUAACACAUGCAAGUCGAGCGGUGGAAGGGAGCUUGCUCCUGGAUUCAGCGGCGGACGGGUGAGUAAUGCCUAGGAAUCUGCCCGGCAGUGGGGGAUAACGUCCGGAAACGGGCGCUAAUACCGCAUCCCAUAUGAGGGAUAAAGAGGGGGAUCUUCGGACCUCACGCUAUCAGAUGAGCCUAGGUCGGAUUAGCCAGUUGGUGGGGUAAAGGCCUACCAAGGCGACGAUCCGUAACUGGUCUGAGAGGAUGAUCAGUCACACUGGAACUGAGACACGGUCCAGACUCCUACGGGAGGCAGCAGUGGGGAAUAUUGGACAAUGGGCGAAAGCCUGAUCCAGCCCUGCCGCGUGGGUGAAGAAGGUCUUCGGAUUGUAAAGCACUUUAAGUUGGGAGGAAGGGCAGUAAGUUAAUACCUUGCUGUUUUGACGUUACCAACAGAAUAAGCACCGGCUAACUUCGUG